GAUGAACGCUAGCUACAGGCUUAACACAUGCAAGUCGAGGGACCGGCGCACGGGUGAGUAACACGUAUCCAACCUGCCCUUUACUCGGGGAUAGCCUUUCGAAAGAAAGAUUAAUACCCGAUAUAAAGGAUGGGGAUGCGUUCCAUUAGGUUGUUGGUGAGGUAACGGCCCACCAAGCCUUCGAUGGAUAGGGGUUCUGAGAGGAAGGUCCCCCACAUUGGAACUAGGACACGGUCGAAACUCCGACGGGAGGGAGCAGUGAGGAAUAUUGGUAAAUGGGCGCUGGCCUGAACCAGCCAAGUAGCGUAAAGGAUGAAGGCUUAUGGGUCGUAAAUGUCUUUUAUAUAAGAAUAUGUAUUAUAUGAAUAAGGAUCGGCUAACUCCGUGCCAGCCGCCGCGGUAAUAC
rnacentral:rRNA from 1 species